CAGUCAUUGAAGACUCAGAUCAAUAAUAGAUCGUAUGAUGAAGUUGCUAUUUGUUUCUUUAACACGAAAGGUUUAUGAAAGAAAUUGAGAGUCAAAAUGGAUUUGAUUGGAUUGGAAGGGGAUGACCUGGCUCAGUUUUUACCCUCAGUGGGAGAGAAUUAUGCCUUCCUAUCUAGUUUUUCUUUUUGGUAUUCCUUAUGUGCUAAUUAUUGUUGCAUUCAGCUAAUUACACACUACCGAACAAACAGCUUCUGAAAUCGUGUUUUGAAAACACGAUUGUAUUGUUAGAUUUGUUAAGAUUUGACUGAAU